AUUGAACGCGGGCGGCAGGCUUAACACAUGCAAGUCGAGCGGGGGAAGGUAGCUUGCUACCGGACCUAGCGGCGGACGGGUGAGUAAUGCUUAGGAAUCUGCCUAUUAGUGGGGGACGACAUCUCGAAAGGGAUGCUAAUACCGCAUACGUCCUACGGGAGAAAGCAGGGGAUCUUCGGACCUUGCGCUAAUAGAUGAGCCUAAGUCGGAUUAGCUAGUUGGUGGGGUAAAGGCCUACCAAGGCGACGAUCUGUAGCGGGUCUGAGAGGAUGAUCCGCCACACUGGGACUGAGACACGGCCCAGACUCCUACGGGAGGCAGCAGUGGGGAAUAUUGGACAAUGGGGGGAACCCUGAUCCAGCCAUGCCGCGUGUGUGAAGAAGGCCUUAUGGUUGUAAAGCACUUUAAGCGAGGAGGAGGCUACUUUAGUUAAUACCUAGAGAUAGUGGACGUUACUCGCAGAAUAAGCACCGGCUAACUCUGUGCCAGCCGCCGCUGUAA
rnacentral:rRNA from 1 species